AAUCUCAAUGUGGAAUUUUGAUUCUAGGUAUACAUGGAAAAUUUAUUCUGAAAGACUAAUGACACUGGCUGGAGUGUAUGGCUUCUGGAAAUAUGUAUCCAAGCUGGAGAGGCGUGAGACCCGAAGAUACCUUGAGAUGUUCUAUAUUCUUAAAUAUCGUGAUUUGGUCAAAUCUGUUCCUUUAGAAACGGAUGAUACACCAUCUCCGGUAAAAUCUCUUCCUGGGGUGAAUGAUGUCCAAAGCAAGCAAUAGCUGCGCCAGGAAGUUGCAUAGAAUGUAACUAUCGGAGUAAAUAAACAAGGUUUUUUGUCUGAUUGUGUGAAUCUUAUGUUCUAUCUCUUAUUUUUGUCUUCCUGAAUGAUGCACGGGGAUCAUUCUGUGUGAUCUUUUUAGUUAAUUCUGAAUAUGCUCGCCGAAUGUUGAUAAUAAUGCGAGUGUCUGAGCUGUUCUCAAGUACUUCAUGAUGUGGAGAGACUUCUCAGCUGUUGUCUUAUUUUGUAUAUAACCCAUGAAUGAUACUACCUUGAAUAGAGGCUACUCCAUAGCAAUAAAGAACUCAUGUUCUUGCUCUUA